rnacentral:rRNA from 1 species
AACGAACGCUGGCGGCAGGCUUAACACAUGCAAGUCGAGCGCCCCGCAAGGGGAGCGGCAGACGGGUGAGUAACGCGUGGGAAUCUACCCAUCUCUACGGAAUAACGCAUGGAAACGUGUGCUAAUACCGUAUACGUCCUUCGGGAGAAAGAUAUAUCGGAGAUGGAUGAGCCCGCGUUGGAUUAGCUAGUUGGUGGGGUAAAGGCCUAGCAAGGCGACGAUCCAUAGCUGGUCUGAGAGGAUGAUCAGCCACACUGGACUGAGACACGGCCCAGACUCCUACGGGAGGCAGCGGUGGGGAAUAUUGGACAAUGGGCGCAAGCCUGAUCCAGCCAUGCCGCGUGAGUGAUGAAGGCCCUAGGGUUGUAAAGCUCUUUCACCUGUGAAGAUAAUGACGGUAACCGGAGAAGAAGCCCCGGCUAACUUCGUGCCAGCCGCCGCUGUAAAAC